rnacentral:rRNA from 1 species
CGCUAGCUACAGGCUUAACACAUGCAAGUCGAGGGGCAGCAUGGUCUUAGCUUGCUAAGACUGAUGGCGACCGGCGCACGGGUGAGUAACACGUAUCCAACCUGCCGUCUACUCUUGGACAGCCUUCUGAAAGGAAGAUUAAUACAAGAUGGCAUCAUGAGUCCGCAUGUUCACAUGAUUAAAGGUAUUCCGGUAGACGAUGGGGAUGCGUUCCAUUAGAUAGUAGGCGGGGUAACGGCCCACCUAGUCUUCGAUGGAUAGGGGUUCUGAGAGGAAGGUCCCCCACAUUGGAACUGAGACACGGUCCAAACUCCUACGGGAGGCAGCAGUGAGGAAUAUUGGUCAAUGGGCGAGAGCCUGAACCAGCCAAGUAGCGUGAAGGAUGACUGCCCUAUGGGUUGUAAACUUCUUUUAUAAAGGAAUAAAGUCGGGUAUGGAUACCCGUUUGCAUGUACUUUAUGAAUAAGGAUCGGCUAACUCCGUGCCAGCAGCCGCGGUAAUACGGAGGAUCCGAGCGUUAUCCGGAUUUAUUGGGUUUAAAGGGAGCGUAGAUGGAUGUUUAAGUCAGUUGUGAAAGUUUGCGGCUCAACCGUAAAAUUGCAGUUGAUACUGGAUAUCUUGAGUGCAGUUGAGGCAGGCGGAAUUCGUGGUGUAGCGGUGAAAUGCUUAGAUAUCACGAAGAACUCCGAUUGCGAAGGCAGCCUGCUAAGCUGCAACUGACAUUGAGGCUCGAAAGUGUGGGUAUCAAACAGGAUUAGAUAUCCUGGUAGUCCACACGGUAAAACGAUGAAUACUCGCUGUUUGCGAUAUACUGCAAGCGGCCAAGCGAAAGCGUUAAGUAUUCCACCUGGGGAGUACGCCGGCAACGGUGAAACUCAAAGGAAUUGACGGGGGCCCGCACAAGCGGAGGAACAUGUGGUUUAAUUCGAUGAUACGCGAGGAACCUUACCCGGGCUUAAAUUGCAGAUGAAUUACGGUGAAAGCCGUAAGCCGCAAGGCAUCUGUGAAGGUGCUGCAUGGUUGUCGUCAGCUCGUGCCGUGAGGUGUCGGCUUAAGUGCCAUAACGAGCGCAACCCUUGUUGUCAGUUACUAACAGGUUCCGCUGAGGACUCUGACAAGACUGCCAUCGUAAGAUGUGAGGAAGGUGGGGAUGACGUCAAAUCAGCACGGCCCUUACGUCCGGGGCUACACACGUGUUACAAUGGGGGGUACAGAGGGCCGCUACCACGCGAGUGGAUGCCAAUCCCAAAAACCUCUCUCAGUUCGGACUGGAGUCUGCAACCCGACUCCACGAAGCUGGAUUCGCUAGUAAUCGCGCAUCAGCCACGGCGCGGUGAAUACGUUCCCGGGCCUUGUACACACCGCCCGUCAAGCCAUGGGAGCCGGGGGUACCUGAAGUGCGUAACCACGAGGAGCGCCCUAGGGUAAAACUGGUGAC